CGCCUAAACCUUACAAUUUUAUAAGGCAUGGCACAAAAAAACCGAUCAAGGUAUAGAGCUCGUCGUCAGAGCACCUUGAUCGGUCAUAUCUCGAAAGAGGUAUGGGUCCCGCAAGGGAUC
rnacentral:sRNA from 1 species